rnacentral:rRNA from 1 species
AGUGAACGCUGGCGGCGUGCUUAACACAUGCAAGUCGAACGAGAACGGAUUAUAGCUUGCUAUAAUUGUCAGCUAAGUGGCGCACGGGUGAGUAAUAUAUAGGUAACGUGCCCCAAAGAAGAGGAUAACAGUUGGAAACGAUUGCUAAGACUCUAUAUGCCUUUAUGACAUAAGUCAGCAAGGGAAAUAUUUAUAGCUUUGGGAUCGGCCUGUACAGUAUCAGUUAGUUGGUGAGGUAAUGGCUCACCAAGACAAUGACGCUUAACUGGUUUGAGAGGAUGAUCAGUCACACUGGAACUGAGACACGGUCCAGACUCCUACGGGAGGCAGCAGUGGGGAAUAUUGCACAAUGGACGAAAGUCUGAUGCAGCAACGCCGCGUGGAGGAUGACACAUUUCGGCGCGUAAACUCCUUUUAUAUAGGAAGAUAAUGACGGUACUAUAUGAACAAGCACCGGCUAACUCCGUG